rnacentral:rRNA from 1 species
GACGAACGCUGGCGGCGUGCUUAACACAUGCAAGUCGAACGGAAAGGCCCGGCUUUUGUGGGGUGCUCGAGUGGCGAACGGGUGAGUAACACGUGAGUAACCUGCCCUUGACUUUGGGAUAACUUCAGGAAACUGGGGCUAAUACCGGAUAGGAGCUCCUGCUGCAUGGUGGGGGAUGGAAAGUUUCGGCGGUUGGGGAUGGACUCGCGGCUUAUCAGCUUGUUGGUGGGGUAGUGGCGGACAAAGGCUUUGACGGGUAGCCGGCCUGAGAGGGUGACCGGCCUCCUUGGGCCUGCGAUACGGCCCAGACUCCUACGGGCGGCAGCAGUGGAGAGUAUUGCACAGUGGGCGGGAGCCUGAUGCAGCAGCGCCGCGUGCGGGAUGACGGCCUUCGGGUUGUAAACCGCUUUCGCCUGUGACGAAGCGUGCGUGACGGUAAUGGGUCAAGAAGCACCGGCUAACUACGUG